UACAGAGGUCCCAAGCGUUGUUCGGAUUCAUUGGGCGUAAAGGGUGCGUAGGUGGUGAGGUAAGUCGGAUGUGAAAUCUCCAAGCUCAACUUGGAAACUGCAUUGGAAACUACCUUGCUAGAGGAUUUGAGGGGGGAUUGGAAUACUUGGUGUAGCAGUGAAAUGCGUAGAUAUCAAGUGGAACACCAGUGGCGAAGGCGAAUCCCUGGAAAAUACCUGACACUGAGGCACGAAGGCCAGGGGAGCAAACGGG
rnacentral:rRNA from 1 species